GUGCUCGCUUUGGCAGCACAUAUACUAAAAUUGGAAUGAUACAGAGAUUAGCAUGGCCCUCGCACAAGGAUGAUGUGCAAAUUCGUGAAGCAUUCCAUAUUAAA
rfam:Canis lupus familiaris chromosome 6, whole genome shotgun sequence.